CGUUUUUAGGACUAGCCAUGCAUGUCUAAGUAUAAGCGAUUUAUAGUGAAACUGCGAAUGGCUCAUUAAAACAGUUAUAGUUUAUUUGAUAAUCGAAUUUUACAUGGAUAACCGUGGUAAUUCUAGAGCUAAUACAUGCUGUUAAGCCUGACUUUUUGGAAGGGCUGUAUUUAUUAGAUACAAACCAAUAUUCCUUCGGGUCUAUUGUGAUGAUUCAAUAUAACUGAUCGAAUCGCAUGGUCUUGCACCGCGAUAAAUCAUUCAAGUUUCUGCCCCAUCAGCUUUCGAUGGUAGUGUAUUGGACUACCAUGGCUUUCACGGGUAACGGAGGAUUAGGGUUCGAUUCCGGAGAGGGAGCCUGAGAAACGGCUACCACAUCUAAGGAAGGCAGCAGGCGCGUAAAUUACCCAAUCCUGACUCAGGGAGGUAGUGACAAGAAAUAACAGACCGGAGCCUCUGGUUCCGGGAUUGCAAUGAGUACAAUUUAGACUCCUUAACAAGUAACAAUUGGAGGGCAAGUCUGGUCCCCCCGUGCCC
rnacentral:rRNA from 1 species